UAUAUUUUAAUGUAUAAUGCAUAAAAAUUUUUGAAAUUUUAAGAUUUAGUGUAAAUCUAUUAAAUAUAA
rnacentral:tRNA from 1 species